GAGAGGAUGAUCAGCCACACUGGAACUGAGACACGGUCCAGACUCCUACGGGAGGCAGCAGUGGGGAAUAUUGCACAAUGGGCGCAAGCCUGAUGCAGCCAUGCCGCGUGUGUGAAGAAGGCCUUCGGGUUGUAAAGCACUUUCAGUCGUGAGGAAGGUAGUGUAGUUAAUAGCUGCAUUAUUUGACGUUAGCGACAGAAGAAGCACCGGCUAACUCCGUGCCAGCAGCCGCGGUAAUACGGAGGGUGC
rnacentral:rRNA from 1 species